rnacentral:lncRNA from 1 species
GGACCUCAGACUCUCAAUUAACACUACUUUGAAGUGAAGUGAAUUUAGGAAGCAUUUCUUCAAUACUACUGAUGAGAAUGUCCACGCGAUAGGAACUUCAGAUAGUGAAAGGAUGUGUAAUAACAUCACUAGAAGAAAACUAUGUUCAAGUCAAACAAACAAAAUGGUCCUUUUUUCGAGAAGGAGGGAAAGGCAUUAAAAUAUUUCCCCCAAGGCAAUUCAAUAUGCUCAUUCCAUUCAGGUGCCAUCCAGGACUCAAAAUCAAGCCCUUCAAGAAGUCUGUUUACCUGUUCCAAAUAAGCACUUCAAGAUGUGUCAGCCACAUCCUCUUGUAAAGUUUGCUUUUGUCAUUAUUCUUUUGGAGAAAAAUAACCAUAACUAAACACCCUUUACUCUAGAGUCC